rnacentral:lncRNA from 1 species
UGGGGUCACACAAUAAAGAAAUUAGUUCUGAAAUAAGCAAUUGAGCUUAUGAAGUGUUAAUUGAGUUUAAAAAAACUUGAUUGGGUUCAAGAUAACCUUGCUAGCAAUGGUUGGACCCAAUUUUUUCUUCAUGUUUGAUUUUUUUAUUUAAUAAGAUAAUUUAAACUUAAUUAUUUGCUAAUAAUCAAAAUAAAUUAGAUUUAUUAGACUCUAAUUAUUGGG